rnacentral:rRNA from 1 species
CCUACGGGAGGCAGCAGUGAGGAAUAUUGGUCAAUGGACGAGAGUCUGAACCAGCCAAGUAGCGUGAAGGAUGACUGCCCUAUGGGUUGUAAACUUCUUUUAUAUGGGAAUAAAAUGUUCCACGUGUGGGAUUUGGUAUGUAUCAUAUGAAUAAGGAACGGCUAACUCAGUGUCAGCAGCCGAGGUAAUACGGAGGACCCGAGCGUUAUCCGGAUUUAUUUGGUUGAAAGGGAGCGGAGGUGGAUUUUUAAGUCAGUUGUGAAAGUUUGAGGCUCAACCGUGAAAUUGCAGUUGAAACUGUAAGUCUUGAGUACAGUAGAGGUGAGCGGAAUUCGUGGUGUAGCGGUGAAAUGCUUAGAUAUCACGAAGAACUCCGAUUGCGAAGGCAGCUCACUGGACUGCAACUGACACUGAGGCGCGAAAGUGUGGGUAUCAAACAGGAUUAGAUACCCGGGUAGUC